rnacentral:lncRNA from 1 species
UUUGAGUGAACGAGCGCCACAAAGUCCAUUCUGAAGGUAGCCCUUGGUCAGGGCAAGGUAUCAUGUUUAUUAAAGUCACACGAUCAUGUCGUCAUUGCCAAAACGUAGGUGAUGCAUCGGUUUUGAAGAUCAUUGAGCUUGAGGACUGAAAGCAAUAUGCACCCGUCUUUUUGUUGUUUAUUUCUACUCUUUCAUUUUUUUAUUUCUACUCUUUCAUUUUUACUCGGAGUUGGCCGUGGUUUAAUUAUUAACUUGCAAGGUUGUGGACAUGAGCUGGUGGAUUAAUAUGUAUUAAUGUAAUACCUUGCAUGUAUGAGGGUGUAUUGUUCUGUAUGUGGGCCUGGGUAGUUCAGGUGGCAGCACACUGUUGAUUUAACUCAAACCAGUUUUUUUCUGUUCACACCAUAUGAUAAGAAGAAAAGGAAACCGACUUGCUGCUCGAUUGAAACUGAUUUGCUAAUAACUUUGUGUGUUCACACUAUAUAACAAUGGUGGAAGAGGGAAACAGAUCUGUGUAGGUGCAGAUCAAAUAAAAAAAUUUAUAAAAAAGGAGAUAAUUAUAAGGAAGCUAGUAGGAAACUUGGAAUUCUAUGCUUGGGACAUGUAGCUUGUGAUUUGUUUUAGUAGACGAUUAUCAUAGCUAUUUUUCUUCGCGAAAGAUAAGGUAAGUUACAUUAUUUGAUAUCUUUUCUUGCUUUUAGGAGAUAGAUGAGGUUAGUGGAUGUAAGGGUAUGCUAUUGUUAUACUACAAUUUCGGUUAUGCGUAUUAAUUGAAUUUGUUUGAUUUUGAUUUCAUGAAAUUGAUCUUUAUUCGGUUAUUGUUGGAAAAUUGAUAGGAAAGCAUGUUAGUGUGUUGAUUUGAUUCUAACAUGAUAUUGAUUGUCAUAACUCUUAAUUGACGCUGCAAUGAAGUAUUAGAUUAUUAGUGACAUUAUUCAUGUAUAAUUUUUAUGCCAAAGGUGAGAUUGCAUAUUUUGAAAUUUAUGUGCAUUGAUAGUUAAGAUGCAUUUAAAUUGAAUGAAUGGAUUGAUUUGUGUGAAAGGGCUUUUGAGCCAGAGACUGUUUUGAACAGUCUGAAUUUGGGGAGACGUCCCUGGAGUGUACGGAGAGUAUUGCUCGGUGUCGCAUACAGAAGUACACUCAGUGGUGCUAUGUCACCAACCUUAUGAGCCUGCGGAGAGUAUUGCUCGGUGUCGCAUACAGAUGCAUGGCUGGGGUACUGCGGUACCAGAUGAUUUGAUAUCAGAUGGAUUGGCUUUAUGCNNNNNNNNNNNNNNNNNNNNNNNNNNNNNNNNNNNNNNNNNNNNNNNNNNNNNNNNNNNNNNNNNNNNNNNNNNNNNNNNNNNNNNNNNNNNNNNNNNNNGAUAUAAUGAGCUAGGCUACUCUCCGUAAUUGAAUUGCUAUAUUUUAUUGGGUGCGCUGAUUCCGUCCCUGGGAUCAAGAUCGGAUAUCAAGUUGUGUAACUUGCUAGCGUUUAAUCGCUCCUUUUUCCCUUCCUUCCAGGAAACAGGUAAAGCGAUUCUCGGAGCGUGCGAAGAGGAUCUAGUUGGAGAUAUUUAGCUUAGCAGGUGCUCUAAGUUGUUGUUAGUCUUUUGUUAUCAGUGUAGCCCUUGGGGCAGACACAGUAUGUUAUCUUUGCAGUUGUGUGUUUUUCUUUCAGUUCAAUCCUUGUAUAUAUGUAUAUACAGAGUUUGGUUUUGAAAUAAAUCUUCCGCUGUUGUUUUGUUCGAAUUUUGUACGUAUUAUCUUUUAUUAUUCUGUCCUUACAUGGAUAUUGGAUUUGGAGUUUGGUGUCACGUGGCAGUAGUGUGAACCUACGGUCCAUGGUGGACAUAUGGAGAACAUUACGACUCUGGAGUCUGGUCUUAGCCUGAUCAACUAGGAUUGGAUUUUGGGGGCGUCACAGUUGGUAUCAGAGCUUAGAGUUCAUUUGUCCUAGUGGGAUAUUCCUAGAGUCUGUAGGUGUUAGAGCACCAUAGGAGUAUGUUCGUACGUUAGUAUAGAUUGAGUGAGGACGUUACGUUUACGUUCCGUUUCAUUUCGUAUUCAGUUCUCUAUUCCUGGAUUGUUUCUCAUGUUUCCUGCUUGUGUUGCUACAGUGACUAAUGGCGGGACAAGAGGGACAUGCAGGGGAUGGGACUGAUACGAGUGGGACUGGAGUUGCGAUUCCAGCUUGGAUGCAGCCCAUGAUGACUUCGCUUACUAAUCUUACAGCAGAGUUAACAGCUUUGAGGAACAUGGGUGCAAAUCCACCACAGGGUAAUACGACACGUCAGCCAGGGGUACCAGCAGGUGAACCAGAUAUGACAGAAGGGGAAUUAGAAACAGGCCGAUUAGAGUCAUGGCUGCGGGUGAUAGAGAAAUUUCAGAAGCACAAACCACCUACUUUUGACGGCAAAGGCAAUCAUCUGGUGGCAGGUGAAUGGAAAGCUGAGGUGAAGAACGUGUUGCGCAUUAUGAAGGUGAACCCAGUCCAACAACAACUCUUGGCAGCCCUACAGCUUAAGGGUGGAGCCAGAAUGUGGUGGAAUAGUGUAGUAUUUGAAGAAGAUGAGGAUAUGAUGGAAUGGUCAGAUUUUGAGCGACUCUUUGAUAAGCAGUACAUCUCUCGGACAGCAAAGACCAUUACAGAAAAGGAGUUGCUGACUAUUCAGCAGGGUGAGGACACUGUUACAGAGUAUGAGCACAGAUUCAUUCGUCUUGCCAGGUUUUGUACAGAUCUGAGGUUCUCUGAUUGGCGUUUGGCUCGACAGUUUGAGGAUGGUUUGAGAACCAAUUUGAGGCGAGCAGUGCAGAAUCAGCAACAUCCUACAGUUAGGCAGGUUGCAGAGUCUGCUAUGAUUACUGAGGCAGAUAUCAUCCAUACCCGAGAGCUGAAGGAAGCUAGUGGUAAAGGGUUCGAUGGUGGUAAGUCUCAUAAGCGCCAUCAACCGUCCGAUGGACAGAAAAAUGGUAAUGAGAAGAAAUUCAAAUCAGACAGUUCGGGUAGCAGUUCGAGGUAUACAAUGACUUGCAAUGCUUGUAAGAGGCCAGGACAUAAGAUGGCAGAUUGUGAGAAGUUCAAGAGCGGAGCUUGCUUUAACUGCGGUGAGAAGGGACAUCGUGCUUUUGAGUGUCCUAAGAAGAAUCUGAAAGAUAAUGAUAAGAAGAGUGGAACUGAUCAGAAAUCUGCGGGUAGCAGUGGCACAUGGAAAAGUAAAGGUUCAACCCAGUCUACGGGUCAGACUCAGGGUCAGUCGUCAGGUACGGGACAGUUGUAUGCUCUACCGUACUAUUAUCAGCCAGGAGAGACUCCACAAGAAGCGAUAGUUCCAGCUGCAGUUCCCUUGCAACAACAGGCACCACCUGCACCAGUUACUGCAGCGAUAGCACCAGCACCGCCUGCAUAUGGUCGUGUGUAUACGAUGAUUCCUAGAGAUGCUACUGAUGGAGCACUCUUGGAAGGUACGUUCUGUGUUAAUUCCAUGCCUGCUAAGAUUUUGUUUGAUACGGGUGCAAAGUAUUCUUUCGUUGCACGUUCUUUUGCUCAUACCGCUGGUCUUGUUUGUGAGAAACUCGAGUCUCUUUUGAUUGCUGAGCUUCCUGGUGAGUUUUAUCAGUAUCUAGAUUCUGUGUGUCGGGAUUAUCGGGUUACUCUUGAUGAGCAUGAGUUUCGCGCGAACUUGAUUGUCUAUGACAUGAAGAGUUUCGAUGUAAUUCUGGGUCUGAGAUGGAUGCAGAGUUAUCAGGGGAAGAUAGAUACCAUAGCAAAGACAGUUACUUUGCAAGUGGAUGGUCAUGAUGUGACCAUAGCUACCCCUCGGGGUAAUGAGUUAGCUGAAGCUUUUCUGGCCCAUAUCGAGUUGGGAGCAUCUGGGAAGGUUGAUUUGGCAUUGUCUGGUAUGGCAGUGGUUUGUGAUUUUGAGGAUGUCUUUGGGGACAUUCCUGGCUUGCCUCCCCACCGUGUUGUGGAAUUUGGCAUAGAUUUGGUUCUGGGUACUGUACCCAUUUCCCGCGCUCCCUAUCGUAUGGCACCAGCAGAGACGAAGGAGUUGCAAGCGCAACUCAAGGACCUUGAGAGUCAGGGUUUCAUUAGGCCCGAGUCACUCACCUUGGGGCGCACCGGUGUUGUUCGUUAAGAAGAAGGACGGGACUCUUCGUCUUUGUAUUGAUUACAGAGAGUUGAAUAAGGUGACGGUGAGGAAUAAGUAUCCUCUACCGCGUAUUGAUGACCUUUUCGAUCAGCUUCGAGGAGCACAGUGGUUUUCUAAGAUCGACUUGAGAUCUGGGUAUCAUCAGCUGAGGGUUAGGGAAGAGGAUAUCCCUAAGACGGCGUUUUUGACGCGUUAUGGUUCUUAUGAGUUCCUAGUUAUGCCUUUUGGGUUGACUAAUGCACCAGCAUUUUUCAUGGAUCUCAUGAACCGCAUCUUUCGACCCUACCUCGAUCAGUUCGUGAUAGUCUUCAUUGAUGAUAUUCUGAUAUAUUCUCGUUCUGAGGCAGAGCAUGCAGAGCAUUUGAGAAUUGUCUUGCAGACAUUGAGGGAGCACCAGUUGUAUGCAAAGUUCUCUAAAUGUGAGUUUUGGCUUCGAGAAGUCAAAUUCUUGGGGCAUGUGAUUUCUGGAGAUGGUCUUUCUGUAGAUCCAUCUAAGGUUGAAGCAGUGCUUGACUGGAAGCAGCCUACUACAGUUCAGGAGAUACGUAGUUUUCUUGGACUCGCUGGGUAUUAUCGCCGUUUCAUUCAGGGUUUUUCCAAGAUUGCCACAGCUUUGACCUAUUUGACGAAGAAGGAUGUUCCUUUCAUUUGGAACAGAGAUUGCCAGCUUGCUUUUGAGGAAUUGAAGCAGAGGCUUAUUUCUGCUCCAGUACUGAUGUUACCUCGUACUGAUAUACCUUUCGUGGUUUAUACUGAUGCAUCUUUGUUGGGAUUAGGCGGUGUCUUAAUGCAGACAGAAAGGGUUGUGGCCUAUGCUUCGAGACAGUUGAGGAUCCACGAGAUGAACUAUCCUACUCAUGACCUUGAGCUUGCAGCAGUAGUGUUUGCACUUAAGGUAUGGAGGCAUUAUUUGUAUGGUGUUCGGUUUGAUUUAUUCACUGAUCACAAGAGUCUGCAGUAUUUGUUCUCUCAGAGGGAGUUGAAUAUGAGACAACGUCGAUGGAUGGAAUUGAUUAAGGAUUAUGAUUUUUCCUUACAAUAUCAUCCUGGAAAGGCAAAUGUUGUAGCAGAUGCCUUGAGUAGAAAACCGAAAGCUCGUUUAGCAGCCAUACAGUUAUGGCGUAUGGUUGAGACACUUAGUGACUUCGAGUUUUGCCCUAGAUUUGACGGUCAGCAGUUUACUCGAGUUGCCUAUCUGGGUAGUAUGACUUUGCAGUCUACCUUUGUUAGCCGAUUGGUUGAUGCACAGGUUUUAGAUGAGUGGAUUCAGGCUCAGAAGGAUGCUCUGGUUGAUACACCAACUCCAGGUUGGAGUAUUGGUAACGAUGGAGGUUUGAGAUUUCAGAAUCGUCUUGUUGUUCCUGAUAACUCUCAGUUGAGGGAAGAGUUAUUCGAUGAGGCACAUCGUACGAGAUACACUGUUCAUCCAGGAACUACUAAGAUGUAUAAGGGUUUGAAGCAACAUUUCUGGUGGAAAACCAUGAAGAGGGAUGUGGCUGAAUAUGUCUCCAAGUGUGAUACUUGUCAGAGAGUUAAGGCAGAACAUAUGAGACCAGCUGGUGAAUUGCAACCUUUACCCAUACCGGAGUGGAAGUGGGACAGUAUUUCGAUGGAUUUUAUCGAGGGAUUACCUAUUUCUGAGGGCCAUAACUCUAUUUGGGUAAUCGUUGAUCGUUUGACUAAGGUAGCUCAUUUCCUACCUAUUAGUAAUACUUAUACUGCUAGUGACUUGGGAACAUUGUAUGUUCAGAAGAUAGUAAAACUUCAUGGCAUUCCUAUGACCAUUAUUUCUGAUAGAGGUACUCAGUUUACUUCCAAAUUUUGGCGAGGACUUCAGAAAGCUUUUGGGACUGCCUUGAACUUCAGUACAGCAUUUCAUCCUCAGACCGAUGGACAGACUGAACGGGUGAAUCAAGUCUUGGAGGAUAUGUUACGUGCAUGUAUAAUUGACUUUAAAGGUCAAUGGGCCGAGCAUUUGCAUUUGGCAGAGUUUGCUUAUAAUAACAGUUAUCAUGCUAGUAUUGGGAUGGCACCAUUUGAGGCCCUAUAUGGUAGACCCUGUAGGACUCCAGUGUGUUGGGCAGAACAUCAUGAUCGCAUUCUUAUGGGAGGACCAAAUAUGGUUAAAGACACUACUGCGAAAAUUGUAUUGGUUAGGGAUCGAAUUGUGGCUGCUCAGGAACGCCAAAAGCGUUAUGCAGAUAAGGGAUGACGACCGAUUGAGUAUCAGGUUGGGGACCCUGUUCUAUUGAAGGUCUCUCCUAUGAAGGGGGUACGACGCUUUGGAAAAAGAGGAAAAUUGGCACCACGGUUCAUUGGACCUUUCAUUGUUCUUGAACGUAUUGGGAAAGUGGCUUACAGGAUCGAAUUACCUCCAGCGUUGGCAGAUGUGCAUAAUGUCUUCCAUAUAUCUAUGUUGAGAUUAUUUAAGAAGGAUGACAGGAAAACACGAAAUAAUCAGAAGGACAUGCAAAUUAAUUUGGCAGACUUUCAGAUAACUCCAGAGAUGUCCUAUGUGGAGCAACCAGUGAAGCUUCUCAAACGGGAAAAACGGGAACUUCGUAGAAGGAAGAUUCCUUUUGUUCAGGUUCUAUGGACUGGACGUACGGAACGUGAAGCUACUUGGGAACGUGAAGAGGAUGUUCGUCGUGACUAUCCGGUUUUCUUCGACAAGGUACGUGUGAAUCUCGAGGACGAGAUUCCUAUUUAAGGGGGGUAGAUUGUAAUACCUUGCAUGUAUGAGGGUGUAUUGUUCUGUAUGUGGGCCUGGGUAGUUCAGGUGGCAGCACACUGUUGAUUUAACUCAAACCAGUUUUUUUCUGUUCACACCAUAUGAUAAGAAGAAAAGGAAACCGACUUGCUGCUCGAUUGAAACUGAUUUGCUAAUAACUUUGUGUGUUCACACUAUAUAACAAUGGUGGAAGAGGGAAACAGAUCUGUGUAGGUGCAGAUCAAAUAAAAAAAUUUAUAAAAAAGGAGAUAAUUAUAAGGAAGCUAGUAGGAAACUUGGAAUUCUAUGCUUGGGACAUGUAGCUUGUGAUUUGUUUUAGUAGACGAUUAUCAUAGCUAUUUUUCUUCG